GUACUUAUUAGGUAUUUGUCUAUUUUAUUUAUCUAUUCAGGUCACUUUUCAAUAGUUAAAAAUCCAUUAAUUUUACUGUUUAGCUGAAUUAAUUGCAUUCUCCUACUUUUAUGUUUCAUAUUUUUGUGCUUAAUUUGUUUCAAUCUUUUAUUUUUCUUGUUAAAAGGAAUCCAUUAUUAUUUGCAUUAUCAUUGACGACUGUGAGAAUCUGCAGAAAAAAACAGUAUGGAACUACAACUUCAUGUUCUUGAGAAAAGCUUGCAGUGUAAGAUGCGUUUGUUUGUGGUGCCUGAGGAAGAGAGCAGAAAAGAGAGUUGGUAGUGCUGAGCUGCUGAAGGUUCAUUACUACCUAGCCUUGAGAAUGGAGACCCCACUCGGUACUCUUCAUAAGAGAUGCCCCAACACGUCAAAGGAAUUAUGGAAGAAGAAAACUUAUUACUUCAUUCACGAAUUGUCUGGAAGCUAUUGCAUACAUAUCAUGAAAUGUCAGCAGCAAAACCCAGACAGGAAGCAAGUAGACAAGCAUCACUCUCCUUAGGAAGAUGAAAGCAUAUUACUUCAUUCAUGAUUUGUCUGGAAGCUAUUGCAUAGAUACCAUGAUAUGUCAGCAGCAAAAGCCAGACGGGAAACAAGUAGACAAGAAUCCCAAUGAUCUCUGCAAUUACAUUUUCAAAUAGAAACUGUUGACAAUCUACAUACUGAUGAAAUUAAUAUUUACUUCUGAUAUUUUAGACCAUGCUUCAGAGAGGACUGAAAUAUUUAGUAGAUGUUUUCACUUUAGUCAUGCAAUUUUGUAUUAAAGGCAAUAAGACGGUAUUCUAAAAACAACAUAUUUAUUUGUUGUAAAUUUGAAGUGUUUGGAUUUUCUGUAUUGUAUCAAAUGGCAAAAUAUCAUUGCUGAAACAAAGUAAAACAGAAAACAUCAACAAAAAUAUCACACAAAAAUGAAUAAUGGGUUUGUCAUCUGAAGCUCAGCAAGAUUUUAUGACUAAAACAUUUUAAGAAAUCAACACAUCUUGCUAUGUUUUAAGUUCUGAUUCCCAGACUGAAGUUUUGCUAAUGAAAGGCCCUCAUUUGCUGCCUCUUGUACGUCUUUUAUCUGCCUCCCCAACCAUGUCUAUUGAUAUUCUGUACCACAAUCGGGACUUUUCAUUUAAAAGUAGAUGAUCUGAUGAAGACACAAUAAAAUUUCAAACCUGUCCAGUACUGCCACUUCCUCAUCAGGGCAUCCUCACAAAGAUGUUCUCCUCCUCUCCUUUUGCACUCUCUGGUUUGGCCCAGUACGUCCAUCUUCACAGCACACAUGUUCAGCAC
rnacentral:lncRNA from 1 species